rnacentral:rRNA from 1 species
GUCCAUGGCCUUACCACCCUGAACGUGCCUGAUCUCGUCGGUUCUCAGAAGCUAAGGAGGGUCGGACCUGGUUAGUACUUGGAUGGGAGAAAGAAAUCCUUUUUUAUUUUAU